rnacentral:snRNA from 1 species
AUUGCUUCAUGGCCUUUUGGCUAAGAUCAAGUGUAGUAUCUGUUCUUAUUAGUUAAAAUUUAAAAAAAACAUGGAGGCAUCCAUGCACAGCCAACCUUU